GAUGAACGCUGGCGGCGUGCCUAAUACAUGCAAGUCGUACGAUGGAGAUCCAGCUUGCUGGAUUGAAGUAGUGGCGAACGGGUGAGUAAUACAUAAGCAACCUGCCUAUAACGUCUGGGAUAACAUAUGGAAACGUAUACUAAUACCGGAUAGGUCAGCAAUCGGCAUCGAUUGCUGAUUAAAGGUUUGAAACGCGAAUAGAUGGGCUUAUGUUGCAUUAGCUUGUUGGUGAGGUAACGGCUCACUAAGGCGAUGAUGCAUAGCCGGCCUAAGAGGGUGAACGGCCACAUUGGAACUGAGACACGGUCCAAACUCCUACGGGAGGCAGCAGUAGGGAAUUUUCGGCAAUGGGCGAAAGCCUGACCGAGCAACGCCGCGUGAGCGAUGAAGGUCUUCGGAUUGUAAGGCUCUGUUGUAAAGGAAGAAUGACACCGAUUGACUCGGUGUGCGACGGUACUUUACCAGAAAGUCACGGCUAACUUCGUGCCAGCAGCCGCAGUAA
rnacentral:rRNA from 1 species